UUCCAUACUCCUCCUACAGCCUACUGCAUGC
rnacentral:piRNA from 1 species